rnacentral:ncRNA from 1 species
UAGAAUUUGUAUUAAAAAUUUUAAAAAAAAUUAAUAAAUUUAAUUAUAGUUUUAAAGUUAACUUUAAAAUUUAUGUAUAUAUAAAUAUUAAAAAUUUAAUAUAAAAUUAGUAGUAUAUAGAUUUAAUAAAAUUAAAAAAAUUUAAUUUUAGGAAUUUUUAUAAUUUAGAUAAAUAAUUGUGCCAGCAAUCGUGGUUAAACAAUUUAGAUAAGUUAAUUUAAUUAAAUUAAAAUUAAAUGAAUAUUUAUAAUAAAAAUUUAAAUUGUUAGGUGAAAUUAAUUAAUUAAUAGUUAUUAUAGUAUAGUAUAAAUUGAGUUUUUAAAAGAUUUUUAAAAAACUAGGAUUAGAUACCCUAUUAUAUAAUUUAAAGAGUGUAAUUUUAAUAUUAAAUGAUUAAUCAUUAAAUUUAAAUAAUUUGGCGGUAUUUUAAUUUUAUUAGAGGAAUUUGUUAAUUAAUUGAUAAUACUCGAUAAGUUAAACUUUAAUUAAAUUUUUAUAUUGUUGUUUUAAGAGUAUUUUUGGAAAAAUUAUUCAAAAUUUUUUAAAAAAAAUAAUUCAGAUCAAAAUGGAGUGAAUAUUAAAGAAUUAAUGAAUUACAAUAAAUUUAAUUUAAAUGGAUUUAUAAUUUAAAAAUUAUAAUGAAGGUGGAUUUAAAAGUAAAAUAAAAUAAUUAUUUUAUUUGAUUUAAAUUUUAAAGUAUGUACAAAUUGCCCGUCGUUCUCUUUGAAAAAGGAGGUAAGUCGUAACAAAGUAAAAGUACUGGAAAGUGUUUUUAGAU